UACGGAGGGUGCAAGCGUUGCUCGGAAUCAUUGGGCGUAAAGCGUACGCAGGCUGCUCGUUAAGUCGGGUGUGAAAGCCCUCAGCUCAACUGAGGAAGUGCGCCCGAAACUGCAGAGCUUGAGUGCCGGAGAGGGUGGCGGAAUUCCCCAAGUAGAGGUGAAAUUCGUAGAUAUUCGCAAGAACACCAGUGGCGAAGGCGGCUCACUGGCCCGGUACUGACGCUGAGGUGCGAAAGCGUGGGGAGCAAACAGG
rnacentral:rRNA from 1 species